AUCGGUUUCCCAAACUGAUUGCCGUAACACGCCGGAAGUCCCGAAAAUCGCACCGGGACUCCGCCGAGACCCACGAACUAUCUCAAAACUCACCGACUCGUUCUACGAGUCACCCGCUACCACUAAAUAUAAUUAUUCGUGCGACUUGGCAGCAAACACAUCGCCUCACAUCGAAACGAUUAUCGUCGAAUAAUCAUUCCGAUCCGGGUUCCCGGAAGUGUCGAAUUCGACACCGGAACCCACGGUCGUUCACCCGUCGUUUUUGAACCCUCGAAAUGACGCGACUAGCCAAUAAGGCUCAGCAAUUAUACAAAUUACCGUGAGGCACCAUCGGAAGAAUUCCGAACUGAAAACGCAUUCUAUCGGCAAAUUUCGUCGAAAAACGCACCUAAAAUCAACAUCUGAUUUCCGAAAAGGCCUGGGGCCUUGGACAACCAGUCCAGAGGUCACCCGCUGCUCAUACACGCUGCCAACAGCAACCACGCAAAGUACAAUUGCAGAAAACCGCUGCAACUACAUAAAAUCACAUCAUUUUAUGUGAUUUUUGGGGUUUUAU
rnacentral:lncRNA from 1 species